rnacentral:tRNA from 1 species
GCGGGUGUGCCAGAGUGGCCAAAUGGACAGCCCUUAAGAGGCUGUGGCUUAGUGCCUGCGGAGGUUCGAUUCCUCUCACCCGCA